UACGUAGGGCGCAAGCGUUGUCCGGAAUUAUUGGGCGUAAAGAGCUCGUAGGCGGUUUGUCGCGUCUGCCGUGAAGUCCCGAGGCUUAACCUCGGGUCUGCGGUGGAUACGGGCAGACUAGAGGUAGGUAGGGGAGAAUGGAAUUCCCGGUGUAGCGGUGAAAUGCGCAGAUAUCGGGAGGAACACCGGUGGCGAAGGCGGUUCUCUGGGCCUUACCUGACGCUGAGGAGCGAAAGCGUGGGGAGCAAACAGG
rnacentral:rRNA from 1 species